rnacentral:rRNA from 1 species
AUUGAACGCUGGCGGCAUGCUUUACACAUGCAAGUCGAACGGUAACAGGGUGCUUGCACCGCUGACGAGUGGCGAACGGGUGAGUAAUGCGUCGGAACGUGCCGAGUAGUGGGGGAUAACGCAGCGAAAGUUGUGCUAAUACCGCAUACGUACUGAGGUAGAAAGUGGGGGACCUUCGGGCCUCACGCUAUUCGAGCGGCCGACGUCUGAUUAGCUAGUAGGUGAGGUAAAGGCUCACCUAGGCGACGAUCAGUAGCGGGUCUGAGAGGAUGAUCCGCCACACUGGGACUGAGACACGGCCCAGACUCCGACGGGAGUCAGCAGUGGGGAAUUUUGGACAAUGGGCGAAAGCCUGAUCCAGCCAUGCCGCGUGUCUGAAGAAGGCCUUCGGGUUGUAAAGGACUUUUGUCGGGGAGGAAAUCCCCAGCGUUAAUACCGCUGGGGGAUGACAGUACCUGAAGAAUAAGCACCGGCUAACUACGUGCCAGCCGCCGCGGUAACAC